rnacentral:snRNA from 1 species
GUGCUCGCUUCGGCAGCACACAUAGUAAAAUUGGAACGGUACAGAGAUUAGCGUGGCCCCUGCACAAGGAUGACACGCAAAUCCGUGAAGCAUCCCAUAUUUUU